rnacentral:rRNA from 1 species
GACGAACGCUGGCGGCGUGCUUAACACAUGCAAGUCGAACGGAAAGGCCCUGCUUGCAGGGUACUCGAGUGGCGAACGGGUGAGUAACACGUGGGUGAUCUGCCCUGCACUUCGGGAUAAGCCUGGUAAACUGGGUCUAAUACCGGAUAGGAGCCAUUUUUAGUGUGAUGGUUGGAAAGUUUUUUCGGUGUAGGAUGAGCUCGCGGCCUAUCAGCUUGUUGGUGGGGUAAUGGCCUACCAAGGCGGCGACGGGUAGCCGGCCUGAGAGGGUGGACGGCCACAUUGGGACUGAGAGACGGCCCAGACUCCUACGGGAGGCAGCAGUGGGGAAGAUUGCACAAGGGGCGCAAGCCGGAUGCAGCGACGCCGCGUGGGGGAUGACGGCCUUCGGGUUGUAAACUCCUUUCGCUAGGGACGAAGCUUUUUGUGACGGUACCUAGAUAAGAAGCACCGGCUAACUACGUG